rnacentral:rRNA from 1 species
UGGGGAAUAUUGCGCAAUGGGCGAAAGCCUGACGCAGCGACGCCGCGUGAGGGAUGAAGGUCUUCGGAUCGUAAACCUCUGUCAGCAGGGAAGAAAUUUUAUUGUGCUAAUCAGCAGUAAAUUGACGGUACCUGCAAAGGAAGCACCGGCUAACUCCGUGCCAGCAGCCGCGGUAAUACGGAGGGUGCGAGCGUUAAUCGGAAUUACUGGGCGUAAAGCGCUCGCAGGUAGUGUGUCAAGUCAAGGGUGAAAUCCCCGUGCUCAACAUGGGAACUGCCUUUGAAACUGGUAUACUUGAGUGUGUGAGAGGAUAGUGGAAUUCCAGGUGUAGGAGUGAAAUCCGUAGAUAUCUGGAAGAACAUCAGUGGCGAAGGCGACUAUCUGGCACAUAACUGACACUGAGGAGCGAAAGCGUGGGUAGCAAACAGG